CCUACGGGGGGCAGCAGUGGGGAAUAUUGCACAAUGGGGGAAACCCUGAUGCAGCGACGCCGCGUGAGUGAAGAAGUAUUUCGGUACGUAAAGCUCUAUCAGCAGGGAAGAAAAUGACGGUACCUGACUAAGAAGCCCCGGCUAACUACGUGCCAGCAGCCGCGGUAAUACGUAGGGGGCAAGCAUUAUCCGGAUUUACUGGGUGUAAAGGGAGCGUAGACGGCAGCGCAAGUCUGGAGUGAAAUCCCAUGGCUUAACCAUGGAACUGCUUUGGAAACUGUGCAGCUAGAGUGCAGGAGAGGUAAGCGGAAUUCCUAGUGUAGCGGUGAAAUGCGUAGAUAUUAGGAGGAACACCAGUGGCGAAGGCGGCUUACUGGACUGUAACUGACGUUGAGGCUCGAAAGCGUGGGGAGCAAACAGGAUUAGAUACCCGAGUAGUC
rnacentral:rRNA from 1 species